CAUAUAAAAGUGGGCAUUGUGCUGGUGGCGGAGUCUCAUGUGAGGUUUCUGGGGAGGAGGCGCGAUGUCGUUUUGUCUCCAAAUGCGGUUUUUCGUUUUGCACAGCGUCGACAGAGAGAACGGGACUGCUGAUGUUUUGUGAAAUCUCUUCAGGGGUGAAAGGGGAGGCACUUAAACUUCCAAGUCGAAGCACGGCCUUCGAGUCUAAACAUCAACAAAGCGCUUCACCAGUGUUGGUCUCCUCUCUGCUUUCCGGCCAUGCACGCGCGAGUGUUCGUGUGCCGAUUUAAUUCCACUGCCUGUAGAGGCCUACGUCUACGGACAAGUUGUCCACUUCGUUCUUCGGAAACUGAAUCAAAAGAUCGCUUUACUUGUGCUUCCAGCGCAGGGACGCUCUUCUGUCAGGGGCGGGCAGUCGACGGCGGGAUCUAUGAAUGCUUCUGCAUGCUGACAGGAAAAGUCAAAAACCAGCGAAAAGCCAAUGCGAGCUCGCCUUUGUCCGACAUGCGCGGAAGAGCUUUCUUUUGCCAGUGCUACGCAGCGUAAACCGAGUGCCCGAGGUUUCUUAAAUCUACCUGUCCUCCUCAAUUUUUCUACGAUUCCGGGUGCAUGCAAGCCGCAAAUUUCUCCAGUAAUCAACGAAACAAGAAUACGCGCCACAUGCCUGAACAAGUCAAGUCCACCCCCCUCCCCCAGCGCGACACUACGGUCACCACGCGCAAACACCAAAAUCUCUCUCCAGCCUCGUCUCUCUCUGUCGAUAUACAGGCGAACAUGCAUGCGCACACACGCUCGAGUCGCCUCCAAACAAAGUCCACUCAGACCACGCCGUGACCUGGCAGUGGCAGCCUGAGAGAAAGGCAAAGAAGAAAAGCAUCGCAGAAAAUCGGGGAACGGUUGAGUUCCACGAAUUCGCGGAAAGGAGAGGACUCGGACGACUUCGAGAGAGAUCAAGUGCAUGCAACUCCUUGCGCUGCGUUCUCAGAGGAUGGAGGCCGUCGAACGCCAGGGAAGCCGGUUUUUCUAUCUCGCACCUUCCUUGGAGGAACCGACAAAAAGAGGCAUCUGCAGUCUGAAGGUUUCCUUGUCUUGUCUAUGCAGAGCAACCGAUCAGGCUCAAUCAAAAUACAUGUGUCUGUAUGUACAGAUAGACGAGUGAAUACUCACAAACUCAUGUUUAACCGAUUCCUGGUCAGUGCUUGCCUCUUCGUAAACACAGCCUCUUAUGCUCACACGGAGAAUGAAUCCCCGAGUUUGAAAAGAUGUAUCUGUGCGUGUAUUUAGACACAUGGGUGCCUCACUUUCUAGACAUGCAGGAACUUCGAACUGAAGAAGGUGCACAGCUCAGACUUUUGAUCGUUGCUGUUUAGUUGCGCGUGCAUGCAAUGCGCCUUCUGCGAAGGCUUCGAAGAGGGAAUUUCCGCAAAGCCCAGCUGAUCGCUCGCGGUUGGGUUUGUGUGUGUUGAGAGCAGGAGAAGGGAGAACAAGCAUUGAAAGAGAAAUCGAAUUUCCUUCUGAAUUGCUGCUCACCGUGAGGCGCAAGCCCUGCAAACAAAGAGCAUGUUGUCCUGCCUUCGGCGAUGUCUUCAAGAUCUGGAAAUGAAAAACACAGUUCAACGCGCAACGGAAAUUGCUUCAUACAACUUCGUUUGACCGGGUAUAGCCUUGUGUCUCUCUUUUAUAAAAAGAAGCAGGUUGGACAGAACUGUACGUACAAUACAGACGUCGCUGUACGCGCGGUCUACCCUGUUCUCAGCGUCUUUGCCUGUGUAUUCCAUUGCGUAGAUGUGUGACAGAUUCGGCGUUCCCGCGGAACAUGAGCAGACGAAGUGGCGAUGAUGAUCAGUACCACCGUGCUGGAAGCAAUCGCAUCUGAGACAAGAGUGUUGAAUGCUUUUUCUGGGGAGUUUUUCCUCUGGGUUAGACGCCGGCUCAAAUCUCCAAGGUCUUUGUUCACCAGAUCCAAGUUGCAUUGUUCUUCUCAUGGCCAUUACAUUCAGCAAACUGAGCACAGUUGAAUCUCGUGUGAACGCUGGUGCAGACAUGGGAACAUCUGCGCUUCCGUGCUCGGUCGUAAGUUCAUAGUAAAGAGCGUGUAGUGUGUACUCCAAGCUUAGCGCAGCUUGCGCUUUGGUUUGCUAAGUGUUUAAAACCUUUUCGUUGUUCGUGGCAGUUGUGCAGUAACAGGAUAGUCGCUUUUUACGCUUGAGCACCCAUUUCAGCUUAUAUUUUACAAGCGUCCCUCCGUUUCUUGGCAAGUCCUGUGAGGCCCCUUGGAGGUGAAAGACGUCUCUCUAUACACAGUGCUGAAGAACAACCAACGCAUACUGCUACAUGUCGGCGACUUGUCGCGUUUUUCUCUCCAUUUUCGACGUCCCAUCGAUACACGAGACUCGUUUAAAGAGGAGAGGGACCUGUAAAAUGUAAACCUCUUUUGGAGGUGGCAACGCCAUCGAGAAAGGUCCGCCAGCCCAGGGGAAGCUCUGAUUCCUGUUGUCUCCCCCCAAAACAACAAACCAACCGACGGGUUCGGUGUAUACUCGGAUUGCAGCUGGAGUUGAACGGAG
rnacentral:lncRNA from 1 species